rnacentral:rRNA from 1 species
CUACAUAGCCACAUCUGCAGUUCUCACAUAGUGUCCCACUGACUCUAAGCAAGGCUGAGCCUGGUCAGUACCUGCAUGGGAGACCUCCUGGGGAAAACGAAGGUUGCUGUUGGA